rnacentral:lncRNA from 1 species
GGAUCCACUGGAACUGAACGAGAAGCCACAUCAGAGGGGGGAACCGUGAUCGUUACAGGAGGAUUGGAGGGGCCGGCUUUAGGAGGUUGAGACGUCCCGGCAAGAGAUGUUUUAUCUUGAACAGGAAUCCCAAAGGGAAUAGACCCCCCUGAAGGUAUCCGAGGAGACGCGAUCGUAACCCGUCCAGUAGGGGGCGGGCGUCUGGGAGGAGGGGCGGCGCC